rnacentral:lncRNA from 1 species
GAGACAGCCCCAGGAGGACCUCUAGAGGCUGUAUCCAGUGUCCUUUGUGAGGCCCGGGCACUGGAGGCCAGGCACAAGGCACACCAAGAUCUUGUUGAUAAGGGAGUUGCCAAGUGCAUGCGGCGGCAGUGAGAGAAGAAUCAGCUGCCUGCGCAGCUCCUGCAGGGCAGGAAGGAAAGAAGGACGGUUCUAUCAACCCCUCCUGCCCACAGGCCCCUCCUGGGCCCUGCAGAUUGCUUACCCAGCCCAACAAGCUGAAGGGUGGCCCGUACUGUGACCUUAGGGCCUAGAAACAGACAGUGCUCAGCAGUUCCCAAGAACCAACCGCCGCUUGCUGAGAGCAAAUUACCUGAUUUCCAUCUCACUAAAUACACACGUGUGACAUUCACAACAACAAGAGUGAAAUUGUUACAGAAGCCCAUGCCUACCCAAAGAAGCCCGAAUCUUAUUUUCGAUUCUUAUCCUUAGGGAAGACUCCACUGGAAAUGCCUGGUCAAAUGCCUGUGUUUUCCCUCAAGAUAGCUCCACUCCAUGCACUUAUGCACCAACUGGAUACACACUUAGGCUCAUUGUUUUUUUGUGUUUUUUUGGGAGAUGCUAGGAAUUAAACUCAGGGCCUUGGCAUGAUGAGCAAGCACUGUGAUACUGAGCCACAUCCUCAGCCCUUUUAAUUUGUACUUUGAGAGAGGGUCUCACAAAGUUGCUGAGGCUGGCCUUGAACUCUCCAUCCUCCUGCUUCAGCCUCCUAAGGAGCUGGGAUUACGGAUGUGCACCACAGCAUCUGUCUGGCUAACUGGUUUUGUUUUGCUCUUGAUUUUCAAUGAUUUUUGUUCCACCCGUUUUGACCUCUUCUCAUCUGGUUUCUAAAACAUUCUGGACAGGGUGUGGGCUUUGGGAUCUGAUGCCAGGUUCUUGCGUGUCUCUGGUUCAUCCUAGAUGCCAGGACACUGGAGGAGCCACCUCAUCCCUGAGCCCAGAUGCUCUCACCUCCGAAACAGGAUGAUCACUCCUACCUGGCCAGGUGCUGGGGGUGCAGGGCGUGGGGACAGGUGAGAAAGACACAGCUCUAGCUCCCUGUGCCUUGUCCAAGAGCAGGAGGGGGCUGCUGACCACAGGCUGGACCUUGUGCCAGAGUCCUUCACGGAGCAUAGCAAGUCGCCUGCCAGGCCUGGGAGUGUCUCCAAUGAGUCAUGCCGGUCACCCUGGACACCAUUCUUCUGGGAAGCCUCCAACAGAGCCCUGUUGGCCUGCUUCCUACGCUGGGCGUGAGCAGCCGCCCCAUGACAGCUCUCACCUCACUCAGGGCAGCAGGCGGAUCAGAACAGAAAUACCUCCUCGGCCGCUCUUGGCCGUGACCUGAGUGCAUGACUGCUCCCAGCAGAGCCUGCACCGCCCUCCCCUUGUAAGACAGAGACAGGAGACAUCGCAGAGCCGGCCAAGUCCCUCCCAUUCCCAGUUGUCCUCAGCGUUGCUUUGGCCAGGGGACGCUCCCUAAGUUACUAAAGUUGUUCUCCAGCUGAGUGCGUCCGUGGGUUCCAAGGUUUCUCUGUUACAGAUAAUACUGCGGAGGGUAUCGCUGUGUGUGCUUUGACUUCCAGGCCUCCACGGUUUGGUUGCAGGAUGACUUGUGGAUUGGCAAAAGCAUCUCAGUAGCUUCUAAAGGCACCACCCAGAAAUGCCCUGGCCACCUUUGUUCUAGCUCCACUCGGGUGGCACUGGUGGAAAAUGUGUGCUCCUCUCUCAGAAUAAAAGAAUAAAACAGCACACGAAAGUUAUUUGAGGCUGGGUUUCUUUGAGUUAUGGUAACAUAAAUAAAUC